rnacentral:rRNA from 1 species
UGGGGAAUUUUGGACAAUGGGCGAAAGCCUGAUCCAGCAAUGCCGCGUGUGUGAAGAAGGCCUUCGGGUUGUAAAGCACUUUUGUCCGGAAAGAAAUCCUUGGCUCUAAUACAGUCGGGGGAUGACGGUACCGGAAGAAUAAGCACCGGCUAACUACGUGCCAGCAGCCGCGGUAAUACGUAGGGUGCAAGCGUUAAUCGGAAUUACUGGGCGUAAAGCGUGCGCAGGCGGUUUGCUAAGACCGAUGUGAAAUCCCCGGGCUCAACCUGGGAACUGCAUUGGUGACUGGCAGGCUAGAGUAUGGCAGAGGGGGGUAGAAUUCCACGUGUAGCAGUGAAAUGCGUAGAGAUGUGGAGGAAUACCGAUGGCGAAGGCAGCCCCCUGGGCCAAUACUGACGCUCAUGCACGAAAGCGUGGGGAGCAAACAGGAUUAGAUACCCUGGUAGUCCACGCCCCUAAACGAUGUCAACUAGUUGUUGGGGAUUCAUUUCCUAGUAACGUAGCUAACGCGUGAAGUUGACCGCCUGGGGAGUACGGUCGCAAGAUUAAAACUUAAUGAAUUGACGGGGUCAUAGCUG